GUUGAGAGAGAAUGAUAACGGGAAGGAGAAUUCAACUGUUGAUGGAGACGGGGAAAAAAGCAUUUGAAAUUAAGAUAAAGAUAAACAUUUCAGUUCAUUCGGUUACAUACAUUCUUUCUUUCUCUGAUUGCCCCUUUCUCUCAACGUUCUGUUCUGUGGUUGUUCCCUUCCUGUUAAUGUUCUGUUCUGCGAUUUCCCCUUUCUUUCGAUGUUCUAUUCUGUGAUUGUUCCUUUCUGUCAAUGUUCUGUUAUUUGAUUGCUCCUUUCUGUCAAUGUUCUGUUCAAUUUUUUCUUUCUUUCGAUGUUCUAUUCUGUGAUUGUUCCUUUCUGUCAAUGUUCUGUUCUUUGAUUGCUCCUUUCUGUCAAUGUUCUGUUCAAUUUUUUUUGAAGUGCUUGCUUUCAUUUUUCAUUUUCUUGUUUGCAGCGUGCACGCUGGUCUCUGUCUAUGUUUUUUUUGUCUGUCUGUCUAUUUUUUUUCGGUGUUACAUUUUUCUGGCUGAGGAGAGGAAAGGCAGAGCAGAGGAAGGGGUAGAGCAACCAAGGGCAAAAUCUUCUUCCAGGAUUGAUGAAGCGAGUUCCAAUGCAGGCAUGAGAUGCACGAUCCAGCAAGGGUUUGUAUAACCGAUGAAGAGAAGAAGAUAUGGGAAGUUCCUUAUGACCUGAUUCCUAGAUCACAAGUAGCUGCUAUAGAAAGAAACCAUAUUUUCAAAACAACUAACCUAGUGUUUGAAUUUUCUAUUUUCUCAGGCAAUGAGUUGAGUUGAUCUUCACCUGUACAGCUGAUCCAUUUGGUUUUGCUAUCAAGAACAGAUCCUAUGGAGAGGUUCUGUUCAACUCCUCGAAUGGCAGCUUGGUUUUCAGUAUCUGAUAUGAAAUUAUUGAGGGAAUGGCUGUGAUAACUGCACCAUGACGGUAAUCCUGUGGUUGUGCAUGGAGAUGGGCACCAAUGUACUAAUGGACAGUCACAUGGAGGCUUAGAUGGCUGAAUUUUGGUUAGCCAGACUCAUGCAGAGGGAAGCCACCAUGUGCUCCAGCGCGUACACUGCACCAGGUUCGUCUCCAUCAGAUGUGUUUCAGCAGUUUACUGACCUCAUAGGAGAUACAGCUGCAAUGCCCUAUUGGGCUUCUGCAUUGGUCCUAUGAUGUGUUAAGUGUUGUUUACUAUCACACUCACCAUGAACGAUGAUAGAUUGCACAAUGGAGUAGAUGGUAGAGAACACAACAAGCUUGAAAUUGUAUCUGUAUCCUGAUUGAAGAAAAGUUCCAUUGUGAAGUGAAAAAAGAUGUAGAACAUUGCGUGAGUAAAUUAAUGCUGACUGAUAUGCAUGUUGAGAUGAAAUUCAUUUGUUAA